rnacentral:rRNA from 1 species
GAUGAACGCUGGCGGCGUGCCUAAUACAUGCAAGUCGAGCGAUCAGACGAGGAGCUUGCUCCUCUGACGUUAGCGGCGGACGGGUGAGUAACACGUGGAUAACCUACCUAUAAGACUGGGAUAACUUCGGGAAACCGGAGCUAAUACCGGAUAAUAUAUUGAACCGCAUGGUUCAAUAGUGAAAGACGGUUUUGCUGUCACUUAUAGAUGGAUCCGCGCCGCAUUAGCUAGUUGGUAAGGUAACGGCUUACCAAGGCAACGAUGCGUAGCCGACCUGAGAGGGUGAUCGGCCACACUGGAACUGAGACACGGUCCAGACUCCUACGGGAGGCAGCAGUAGGGAAUCUUCCGCAAUGGGCGAAAGCCUGACGGAGCAACGCCGCGUGAGUGAUGAAGGUCUUCGGAUCGUAAAACUCUGUUAUUAGGGAAGAACAAAUGUGUAAGUAACUAUGCACGUCCUGACGGUACCUAAUCAGAAAGCCACGGCUAACUACGUG